UGCUUGUAGAGCGCUCGCUACUAUCAUGUGAUGUGUGGUGAAUGUGGCGAUGAAGAGAUGGGCUUACAGUGUGUUAAGUGGAAGCAACACAUGAAGCGGACAUGGAGAAGGAAGCUGGCAUGACACUAAAACGCAUAAAGUUGACAUGUGACGUUCAUGUUUUAGAUGUCUUAUUCUACUGCCAAACUUCCUAAUACUCCAUUUUUAUACUAUAUUGUCUAUCUGUACGUGUGAAUGGAGAUGAUGAUAUUAUGUGAUGUGAUGAUGGAUGGAUUAGCUUCGUUGAAUAUUAGAUGAUAUUAUGUGAUGAUGAUAUUAAACGGGCAUUGCAGUA